UACAGAGGUCUCAAGCGUUGUUCGGAUUCAUUGGGCGUAAAGGGUGCGUAGGCGGCGCGGUAAGUCGGGUGUGGAAAUCUCGGGCUUAACUCCGAAACUGCAUUCGAUACUGCCGUGCUUGAGGACUGGAGAGGAGACUGGAAUUUACGGUGUAGCGGUGAAAUGCGUAGAUAUCGUAAGGAAGACCAGUGGCGAAGGCGGGUCUCUGGACAGUUCCUGACGCUGAGGCACGAAGGCCAGGGGAGCAAAACGGGG
rnacentral:rRNA from 1 species